rnacentral:rRNA from 1 species
GGGGGGGGGGGGGGGGGGGGGGGGGAGAGGCAGGGCGGGGGAGCAGGCGAGGAGCUUGCUCCUCUGACGGUAGCAGCGGACGGGUGAGUAACACGUGGAUAACCUACCUAUAAGACUGGGAUAACUUCGGGAAACCGGAGCUAAUACCGGAUAAUAUAUUGAACCGCAUGGUUCAAUAGUGAAAGACGGUUUUGCUGUCACUUAUAGAUGGAUCCGCGCCGCAUUAGCUAGUUGGUAAGGUAACGGCUUACCAAGGCAACGAUGCGUAGCCGACCUGAGAGGGUGAUCGGCCACACUGGAACUGAGACACGGUCCAGACUCCUACGGGAGGCAGCAGUAGGGAAUCUUCCGCAAUGGGCGAAAGCCUGACGGAGCAACGCCGCGUGAGUGAUGAAGGUCUUCGGAUCGUAAAACUCUGUUAUUAGGGAAGAACAAAUGUGUAAGUAACUAUGCACGUCUUGACGGUACCUAAUCAGAAAGCCACGGCUAACUACGUG